CUAUUACUACACAGUGUUUUCUUAUUACUGCUUACCCUUCUGGCAAUCUAGCUAUCUAUUUAUCCUUUGUGUUGAGCUUGUAUUAAGUAAAUCGUGGUCCACAUCUGGUGUUCGUCAAAUAACAUCUCUUGAAAGAAGAAAUUGAAAAUAGGAAGGUAUUUAUAAAAAAAAACAUGUGGUACUACAGAGACAACAUACUUAAACAAGCACAAGCAAAGGAAAAAUAGAACAGUCAAGAGAGCCAUUUCAAAGACAGAUCUUGACUACUACUACUACAGCUACUACCACUUAGAUGAUAUGCAUUUAUGUCACUUAAAUUUAGAUUGUGUGUGAUAUUAAGUGCAUGUAUAUUAAAAUAGCUUAGGCUGUCAAGUCCAUUGUCUUGUUAAGGUAUAGUUAACUCAAGGAUUUUGAAGGACUCUAGAAUGUAUAUUGUCAGAGGAAAUAUUCGAUGGUGUAAGUCACUGAAACAAGUUGCAUGUGCUGUAAGCAAAACCCCAUUGUACAAAGAAAUUUCCUUGUCAUCAAGGCAUGCAGAUUCAACUGAGAGUGAGGAACCGUUUCU